rnacentral:rRNA from 1 species
GACGGAGGGUGCAAGCGUUGUUCGGAAUUACUGGGCGUAAAGGGCGCGUAGGCGGUCUGUUAAGUUCGGUGUGAAAGCCCCCGGCUCACCUGGGGAACUGCGCCGGAAACCGACAGACUCGAGUACCGGAGAGGAGGGUGGAAUUCCUGGUGUAGCGGUGAAAUGCGCAGAUAUCAGGAGGAACACCGAUGGCGAAGGCAGGUCUCUGGGCCACUACUGACGCUGAGAAGCGAAAGCAUGGGGAGCGAACAGG